GUAACUUGACAUUCAAAUGCCGCAGUGGUCACGGAUUACGCAGAAAGGGAUAAAGCAAAGUGUAUAAACUUAAUUUGCAUAGUGGAAUUAAACAAUACGGGGAUGGUUUGACGUGGAUGCGGAACUCUGGCGUCUUACCCUCAGCUGGGGAUCAGCUGAAAAAAAGAGAGUCUGGGUUUCCUUGAAGGUUUACACGCGAGUGUACACAUUGAUUUUACAACGAGGGAUAUCGGUAAGUCACGAACACCAUAAGGCUCGAUUGGAUGAACACUAGUCUACUGAUCUGAGGCUUGAGUAUCCUAGAAUGUGGGCUCCAAGGUCGAAGAGAAUAAAAAGAAGAAGAAGAAGAAGAAGAAGGAAUUUCGCUUUAAACUUUAUUCAGCAACAAUGUUCAAGACUCUAGACCAAUAUUAUGUUUCAUAGAUUCGUUAUCGCAGCCAAACGAUCCUAAAGCCAGAGUGAAACGAGCGUUUGGAUCUGAAGUUCCUUUAAGAUUUUCUGGAAAGUCAACGGCGUGUGGUGCUUUGGCACAACGAAGGAGAAGAGGUGGGAUCAAAGCUCGAGGAAAUACUCUACCCUGCAGAUAGACCGGCAUAAGAACCAGCAGUAGAAUAGAACCAGUAGAAGCAUAAGAGAGUAACGGAGUAACAGUAACAGAGUUGCACAUACAAGAACCUCAGAAAACCACUUCUCAACGGAUUCCACGGUGCUUUGAAGAGACCAAGCUCUACCAAAGGUUCCUACCUUCCACAAGAACGAUCAUUCUAUGCUAUUUCAAACAAGUAAUUACUGACAAAUUGGGAUCGAAUAUCAGGUCAGUCAAUGCCAAAACUUCAACACAUCAAUUCUCAUGGUAAAAUUAAUUGGAAAUUGCAACUUUGUUAUAAUUUAAUACCUUACCACAUUUAUAUCCUAUAAAAAUACGAGAUGAUUUUCUAUAAUUGAAAAAUUAAUUGGACAGAAAAUUGAUGGUAAAAAAAUAUUUUUUAAAAUGGAUAUUAAAAAAAAAGUAAAUUAAAAUUAAUUUAACAAAAAAGUAAUUUACGAUCCGAAGACUUAAAUAUAUCAAAAGUUAAGUACUCUGAAGUAUCGAGGACAACGAGAUAAAGAUAUAAGUACUGAGAGUAAGAAUUAUUAACAUUAAAGUUUUGGACUUUGACAUUUUUAAAGCGUAAUAAAUAAACGCCUUCACUAGAUAAGUACACGUUAAUUUAUUGUCAGUUUGCUAAAUGUUUCAAAUUAACAAACUUAUUUUUAUUAAAUAAAAUAAAAUAAUGAAGAAUUUUAAAUUUUCAGUCGCUCGAAUCGCUUGUUCGUUAAACAGUUCAACUUUAUAUAUUUUUUGUUCUGGUUGUCGUCGGUAAAGUUUAUCGCAGUUUUAAAAGUUUAAGUUGUACGAUCUGAAAAGGAGACAAAUCUCGGAGAAUAUUUGAUGCAAAAACGAUAGCCAAUUUGAGGAAACGCAUAUGGAAAACUUUUCUUGUGAAUAUGUGAAUAUGUUUUAAAUGAAAAAUUAUAAUUAUUUUUAUUUCUCUCAAUGGUGAAAUUUAACUCUAUUUAUAUUCACAUUAGUCGAAGUUUAUUUUUUGAAAAUACUAGUAUUUUUAUCCAUAUCUGAU